ACAGUGUGACAGUUUCCUCUUUAGACUUUUAAUUACAUCUCCAAGGACCUCCUUCCUGUAUUAGCAAUGGUGGUGGCAGUUUACCAUUCUAAGAGCCCAGAUAUCUUUGCAUACUUCUGUAAGAAAAAAAUAGUGAUGAACCUUCCUCUUCGUUCAAAAAUGCUUCCUCAAAACCUAUAUCCUCAGAAGUCCGGACUGAAAAAGAAUCAGACAUUCUUCAGCACUGCCAUACCAGGCUCAGAUCACAUAGUACAGAUUUGCCUCUGAGUUACUGCUUUUAAAAUUGUUAGAGCAGUUUCCAAACACUACUACAGAACAAGAACUUCUUCUGGAGCUUCUACACUGGUGAGUA